rnacentral:lncRNA from 1 species
AGGUGGAACCCGAGACUCGAACCCGGAUCCUCCAGAGUGGAAAGCCGAAGCGUUUCCACGCGGCCAAUCCAGAGUGAACUGAAACACAGUACUGAAAAUAUCCACGAUACAAUUGCCAGUCACUGAUGUAUCUGUGAGAAGAUACCUGCAUUCAUACCACUGCACAUCUCAUAUAAUAAUUAUAGCCAGUCAAUUAAAAAAAUAACACAGUGGGCAUAAUCUGAAGGAUCCGGAUUCUAAAUAUGCAAUUUUCUCAGGAGAGAUCUGAGCCUGACUAGUUGAAUAUUAUCUAUAUUUUUGGGCUCUGAAAUAUUAUUAUAUAUAUUCCUGGUGAAAUUUGGCAGCAUAAAUUUAAUCUAGCCUAACUUAACAAUGGUCGGGAUGGCUGCGUGCUGUCAGAGUUCAUUCCCAAGCUUGACAUUUGCAGUUUUUCAGGGAUUCAGAUCCAGUCUAUUGAAUCCAAUUUUCUUUCUGGCGAGCGAUCCGAUAAGCGCAUGGACAGUACUAGAAUAUUAUCAACUUAAUAUUCUAUAUGGAGGACAUCAUAAAUUAGGAAAAAAAUUUAAAUCUAGGACGGAGUUCAGUCGUAUUUGACCUCUAAUUUCGACCCACGAAUAUUGAAAAUAGUUAUUUUUUUGUUUUUUACCAAAAAUAAGCGAAUACAGGGUGUUUAGGGAGAUAGGAAUUAGUUUCUUCAGUUUUGCUCAGUGUUCUGAAAUUUUAAAGAUUAGAUUAGCUUAGGUCAGUUAUUUAAACCGCUAUAUCCUCAUGGGAUAGUAUUUAUCUGGUGGCGGCUACUUGUAGAGCCCAUCACAGACUGGUCAAUACCCGAAAGUUUAAAGAUUUUAGUAAUUUAAGUCCAUCAAUCAAAUUUACAGUAAAUUUUAUCUAAAUCGAAUUGAAUAAUUGGUUUUGCUAUAUGUAUUAAGAAAUUACUCCUUUUUUCGGAUUUUCUUCGUAGAGAUAAAUUUUACUACAUAGUUAAGCAAUUAGUGGACAAUUGUACAAAAAAAAUCCAAUCAAUUGCAGCGCCAG